rnacentral:rRNA from 1 species
UACUCCCGAGAGACCGAUAGCGAACCAGUACCGUGAGGGAAAGGUGAAAAGAACCCCGAGCAGGGGAGUGAAAUAGACCCUGAACCCGUCUGCCUACAAGCGGUCGGAGCAUAGCAAUAUGUGACGGCGUGCCUUUUGCAUAAUGAACCUACGAGUUACCUUCCCCGGCAAGGUUAAGUACCUAAGGUACGGAGCCGAAGCGAAAGCGAGUCUGAAGAGGGCGGCCAGUCGGGGGGGGUAGACGCGAAACCGAGUGAUCUACCCUUGGCCAGGUUGAAGGUUGGGUAACACCAACUGGAGGACCGGAUGGGUAAGCGUUGAAAAGCUUUCCAAUGAGCUGAGGGUAGGGGUGAAAGGCUAAUCAAACUCGGAGAUAGCUCGUACUCCCCGAAAUGCAUUUAGGUGCAGCCUCUUUAUAGUAUAUCGUGAGGUAGAGCGACUGAUUGGAUGCGAGGGCUUCACCGCCUAUCAAGUCCAGAUAAACUCCGAAUGCGCGAUAUAUAUUUAAAGGGAGUGAGGGCGCGGGUGCUAAGGUCCGUGUCCGAGAGGAGAAGAAUCCAGACCACCGGCUAAGGCCCCCAAAUGAUCGUUGAGUUGAACUAACGAGGUCGGAUCGCAGAGACAGCUAGGAUGUUGGCUUGGAAGCAGCCAUUCAUUUAAAGAGUGCGUAACAGCUCACUAGUCGAGCGAUCUGGCGUGGAUAAUAAUCGGGCAUAAACGAUCUGCCGAAGCCGUGGAUGUCGUAAGACAUGGUAGGGGAGCAUUCCAUGCGGCGUCGAAGAUGAGGGACGACCCUUGUUGGAGCGCAUGGAAAAGCAAAUGUAGGUAUGAGUAACGAUAAGGGGGGCGAGAAACCCCCCCGCCGAAAGACCAAGGUUUCCUGAUCAACGCUAAUCGGAUCAGGGUGAGUCGGGACCUAAGGCAAAGCCGAACGGCGACGCCGAUGGAAGAAUGGGUUAAUAUUCCCAUACUGCCUCAUGGAGUGACGUGGAGACGGAGAAGUGACAGUCCUGCCGGCUGACGGAAUAGCCGGUUGAAGGGUGUAGAUAUUGAUUCCCGUAGGCAAAUCCGCGGGGAGAGUCGAACCUGACAGUAUACCGAGUACUUGUACGAGGUAAUAUGGACGUAACCAUGCUCCCAAGAAAAUCCGCUAAACUUAUCCAUGCGGCACCCGUACCGUAAACGGACACACGUGGUCGGGUUGAGAAUACUGAGGCGCUCGAGUGAUUCACGGUUAAGGAACUAGGCAAAUUGACCCUGUAACUUCGGGAUAAAGGGUCCCAACGAGAGUUGGGCGCAGAGAAUAGGUCCAGGCAACUGUUUAACAAAAACACAGGGCUGUGCCAAAUCGAAAGAUCCAGUAUACAGCCUGACACCUGCCCGGUGCUGGAAGGUUAAGAGGAGAUGUCAUCGCAAGAGAAGCGUUGAAUUGAAGCCCCAGUAAACGGCGGCCGUAACUAUAACGGUCCUAAGGUAGCGAAAUUCCUUGUCGGGUAAGUUCCGACCUGCACGAAUGGUGUAAUGAUCUGGACACUGUCUCAACCGUGAGCUCAGUGAAAUUGUAGUAUCGGUGAAGAUGCCGAUUACCCGCGAUGGGACGAAAAGACCCCGUGAACCUUUACUAUAGCUUUACAUUGAAUUUGGGCAGACGAUGUGUAGGAUAGGCCGGAGGCUUUGAAGGGGGUACGCCAGUAUCCUUGGAGCCGCCGUUGAAAUACGGCCCUUCGGUUGUUUGAGUUCUAACUCCUAGGCAGGAGGACACUGUAUGGUGGGUAGUUUGACUGGGGUGGUCGCCUCCAAAAGCGUAACGGAGGCUUCUAAAGGUGCCCUCAGACCGAUUGGUAACCGGUCGCAGAGUGUAAUGGCAUAAGGGCGCUUGACUGGGAGAGAUACAACUCGAUCAGGUAGGAAACUAGAGCAUAGUGAUCCGGUGGUUCCGCAUGGAAGGGCCAUCGCUCAAAGGAUAAAAGGUACUCCGGGGAUAACAGGCUGAUCCCUCCCAAGAGCUCAUAUCGACGGAGUGGUUUGGCACCUCGAUGUCGGCUCGUCACAUCCUGGGGCUGGAGAAGGUCCCAAGGGUUGGGCUGUUCGCCCAUUAAAGUGGCACGCGAGCUGGGUUCAGAACGUCGUGAGACAGUUCGGUCUCUAUCUAUCGUGGGCGCAGGAGAUUUGAGGGGCUCUGACACUAGUACGAGAGGACCGUGUUGGACGUACCACUGGUUUACCGGUUGUCCCGCCAGGGGCACCGCCGGGUAUCUAAGUACGGAUCGGAUAAGUGCUGAAAGCAUCUAAGUACGAAGCCGGCCUCAAGAUUAGAUCUCCCUGAAGGGUGGUUAUAGACGAUGACCUUGAUAGGCCACAGGUGUAAGGGCGGCGACGUCCGAGCCGAGUGGUACUAAUUGCCCGGGACUUUCCUCA